GCUUCUAUAUGUCAGCAUUGUCCUGUACUCUCCAGCACUUGCGCUAGAAGCAGUUGCUGGAAUUCCGGUAUGGUUAUCUAUUGUAAUAAUAGGACUAAUAGGAACAGUUUACACAGCUAUUGGAGGAAUGAGAACCGUGGUCUGGACUGAUACAUUCCAGUUUGUUAUGAUGUAUGGUGGUCUGGCUGUGAUCCUUGUACUGAGUAUAAAAGAAAUAGGAAGCUUUUCAAAAGUUUUCGAUUUGUCAUGGAAAGGUGGUCGGAUUAAAUUUGAUGA